UCAAGUUAUUAAGGGUGCAGGGCGGAUGCCUUGGCACUAGGAGCCGAUGAAGGACGUGAUAAGCUGCGAUAAGCUUCGGGGAGUUGCACGUAAACUUUGAUCCGAAGAUUUCCGAAUGAGGAAACUCACUUAGAGUAAUGUCUAAGUAUCAUUAAGUGAAUACAUAGCUUAAUGAGGGGAACUCAGGGAACUGAAACAUCUAAGUACCUGAAGGAAGAGAAAGAAAUUCGAUUCCGUAAGUAGCGGCGAGCGAACGCGGAUUAGCCCAAACCAAUAAAGUUUUCUUUAUUGGGGUUGCGGACAUAUCAUAACGAAGAGGUAUCGUAAUUGAAGAGGUUUGGAAAGACCCACCACAGAAGGUAAUAGUCCUGUAUGUUAAACGAGAAGACUUCAGAUAUGAUCCAGAGUACCACGGGACACGUGAAACCCUGUGGGAAGCAGGAGGGACCACCCUCCAAGGCUAAAUACUACCUAGUGACCGAUAGCGUAUAGUACCGUGAGGGAAAGGUGAAAAGAACCCCGGGAGGGGAGUGAAAUAGAACCUGAAACCCUGCACUUACAAGCUGUGGAAGCACAUUUCUUGUGUGACCGCGUACUUUUUGUAGAACGGGCCAACGAGUUACGUUAAGUAGCAAGGUUAAGCACUUAAGGUGUGGAGCCGUAGCGAAAGCGAGUUUUAACUGAGCGUUCAGUUACUUGACGUAGACCCGAAACCGGGCGACCUACCCAUGAGCAGGAUGAAGCGAAAGUAAAAUUUCGUGGAGGUCCGAACCCACGAGCGUUGAAAAGCUCGGGGAUGACUUGUGGGUAGCGGUGAAAUUCCAAUCGAGCCCGGAGAUAGCUGGUUCUCCCCGAAAUAGCUUUAGGGCUAGCCUCAAGGUGAGAGAUACGGAGGUAGAGCACUGAAUGUCCUAGGGGGUAUUGCACCUACCGAAGACUAUCAAACUCCGAAUGCCGUCAUCUUAUACUUGGGAGUCAGACUGUGGGUGAUAAGAUUCAUAGUCGAAAGGGCAACAGCCCAGAUCGUCAGCUAAGGUCCCUAAAUGUAAGUUAAGUGGUAAAGGAUGUGGGAUUGCACAGACAACCAGGAUGUUGGCUUAGAAGCAGCCACUCAUUCAAAGAGUGCGUAAUAGCUCACUGGUCGAGUGAUCCUGCGCCGAAGAUUUCCGGGGCUAAAACUUACUACCGAAGCUACGGCAUCAGUAAUGAUGGGUAGGGGAGCUUCCCAUACGGGUUGAAGCAUGACCGUAAGGACAUGUGGACAGUAUGGGAGUGAGAAUGUUGGCAUGAGUAGCGAGAUGUGGGUGAGAAUCCCACAGGCCGUAAACCCAAGGUUUCCAGGGGAAGGUUCGUCCGCCCUGGGUUAGUCGGGACCUAAGCUGAGGCCGAAAGGCGUAGGUGAUGGACAACAGGUUGAUAUUCCUGUACUACCGAUAACCGUUUGAGAGAAGGGAUGACACAGUAGGAUAAGCUAAGCACACUGUUGGUUAUGUGUGCCCAAGCAUUGAGGCAGUCAAAGUAGGCAAAUCCGCUUUGAUAAUGCUGGGAUGUGAUGGGGAGCGAAAUUUAGUAGCGAAGUAGCUGAUUUCACACUGUCAAGAAAAGUCUCUAUCGAGGUUAAAGGUACCCGUACCGCAAACCGACACAGGUGGGUGAGGAGAGUAUCCUAAGGCCAGCGAGAGAACUGUUGUUAAGGAACUCGGCAAAAUGACCCCGUAACUUAGGGAUAAGGGGUGCCACCAUCAGGUGGCCGCAGAGAAUAGGCCCAAGCGACUGUUUACCAAAAACAUAGGUUUCUGCUAAGUCGCAAGACGAUGUAUAGGAGCUGACGCCUGCCCGGUGCUGGAAGGUUAAGGGGAUCUGUUAGAGCAAUCGAAGCAGUGAACUUAAGCCCCAGUAAACGGCGGCCGUAACUAUAACGGUCCUAAGGUAGCGAAAUUCCUUGUCGGGUAAGUUCCGACCCGCACGAAAGGCGUAACGAUUUGGGCACUGUCUCAACAACAGACUCGGUGAAAUUGUAAUUCCGGUGAAGAUGCCGGAUACCUGCGACAGGACGGAAAGACCCCAUGGAGCUUUACUGUAGCUUGACAUUGGGUCUUGGUACUACAUGUACAGGAUAGGUGGGAGGCUUUGAAACCAGGACGCCAGUUUUGGCGGAGCCAUCCUUGGGAUACCACCCUUGUAGUACUGGGACUCUAACCAUAGGCCAUGAAUCUGGUCUUGGGACACUGUCAGGUGGGCAGUUUGACUGGGGCGGUCGCCUCCCAAAAGGUAACGGAGGCGCUCAAAGGUUCUCUCAGUACGGUCGGAAAUCGUACGUAGAGUGUAAAGGCAAAAGAGAGCUUGAUUGCAAGACAUACAGGUCGAGCAAGGAUGAAAAUCGGACUUAGUGAUCCGGUGGUUCUGCGUGGAAGGGCCAUCGCUCAACGGAUAAAAGCUACCCUGGGGAUAACAGGCUUAUCUCCCCCAAGAGUCCACAUCGACGGGGAGGUUUGGCACCUCGAUGUCGGCUCAUCACAUCCUGGGGCUGUAGUAGGUCCCAAGGGUUGGGCUGUUCGCCCAUUAAAGUGGUACGCGAGCUGGGUUCAGAACGUCGUGAGACAGUUCGGUCCCUAUCCGUCGCAGGCGUAGGAAAUUUGAGAAGACCUGUCCUUAGUACGAGAGGACCGGGAUGGACGUACCUCUGGUGUACCAGUUGUUCUGCCAAGGGCAUGGCUGGGUAGCUAUGUACGGAAUGGAUAAGCGCUGAAAGCAUCUAAGCGCGGAAGCCAACUUCAAGAUAAGAUUUCCCACCGCAAGGGUAAGACCCCAGAAAGACUAUCUGGUUGAUAGGUCGAAGGUGUAAGUGCAGCAAUGUAUUUAGCUUAUCGAUACUAAUAGGUCGAGGACUUGACCAA
rnacentral:rRNA from 1 species